UACGGAGGGGGCUAGCGUUGUUCGGAAUUACUGGGCGUAAAGCGUACGUAGGCGGCUUUGCAAGUUAGAGGUGAAAGCCCGGGGCUCAACUCUGGAAUUGCCUUUAAAACUGCAUCGCUAGAAUUGUGGAGAGGUAAGUGGAAUUCCGAGUGUAGAGGUGAAAUUCGUAGAUAUUCGGAAGAACACCAGUGGCGAAGGCGACUUACUGGACACAUAUUGACGCUGAGGUGCGAAAGCGUGGGGAGCAAACAGG
rnacentral:rRNA from 1 species